CAGUAGCCACGGUAAUACGGAGGGAGCUAGCGUUGUUCGGAAUUACUGGGCGUAAAGCGCGCGUAGGCGGUUACUCAAGUCAGAGGUGAAAGCCCGGGGCUCAACCCCGGAACUGCCUUUGAAACUAGGUGACUAGAAUCUUGGAGAGGUCAGUGGAAUUCCGAGUGUAGAGGUGAAAUUCGUAGAUAUUCGGAAGAACACCAGUGGCGAAGGCGACUGACUGGACAAGUAUUGACGCUGAGGUGCGAAAGCGUGGGGAGCAAACAGGAUUAGAUACCCGCGUAGUCCCUGUCUCUUAUAC
rnacentral:rRNA from 1 species